ensembl:lncRNA
GGAGUCAGUGACCAGAAGAGGAAGGGCAGCUCCCUGGAAGUGGGCUGCACGGCCCCAUUUCCCCUGUGCUGCAGGCAGGGGCAAGGCCAGGGGCCUUUUAGUUGGAGCUUGGGGGCACCCAGGAGGCAGCUCCGCCUUGACCGCCCCGUGGCAGGAUUUGUCCUGCUUCCCGAAAGGCCAGGCCACAGGUACUGCCUGGAAAAUUCUUUAUGGGCUGCUGCCUUCCAGGUGGCUCACUGGGAGUGGCUCCUGAAGCAGGUGCUGGGCAAGUCCCAACCAGAUCCCUCCCUGCCACCAAAGCAGCGGGGCAGGCCAGGCUGGCAUGGUGUGGAACGGGGGAAGGGAGUGAACAGCCGAGCAAUUGACUGAGCUGUCCUGGGCCCCUAGCCUGACUGUCUGGGCUGCCCUUUGGGCUCCAGGUCCUCUCCACUUGCGGGUGCAAAGGCUUUGUGCCCCACUAUGGAGUCAGAUAACUUAGGGAGCACAGUAUUGUACUUGCAAUGUCCUUCAUCUAGAAAUCCCAGGUUGGUACUGCUGAGUCUGUGUGAGUUCAUGGUUUUGUGGACCCCUAAGCCUCAAGCAAAGUGAAUCCCUGAGCUCUCCCCAGUGGUUGACCACAGGUGGGAGGAGAUGAGGCCCAGAAGGGCCCACGUAGAGCCUGGUGCUGGUCAGCAGAAGGGGCAGGGAAGCUGCCCCCGGCACAGCACACCUGCUCCCUCUGGCUGCAUCCAAUGGGAUGUGGACAGAGGCCACAGACCUCUCUCCCAAGCCGCAUGGCCUUCUCAUUCUCCAGGCGUGGCCCAGCCCGUGUUGGCUUUGGAAAGGAGGCUGUGAUAGACAGUCCUUAGAAUGUGGACACUGCUGGGUUCCCAGACUGGCUGCAGAUCUGGCUUUGGCGGAGUCUUGGUGAUCACCGAGUUCCCCAGGCUGGGCUUGAAUGUGUGAGCCUCUGCCUCUGUCUCCCAGAGUGCUGGGUUAUAGGAGGAUGCUGUUUCAAAGGGAUGCCUUGUGAAAGGUACUCAGAGCGGCCCGGGAACUGAGCAUCGAGCGUGUGGGGGUCUGCUGUCCGGGCAGGGCUUCACUUGUCAGAUCCAGAGACCCCAAUUGCAGGCGGUCCUCUCUUCCCCGAGCCAGCCUGAGCUCUGCCUGGGCACCUCUCCUCUGCCCAGCCAGGCUGUGCCUUUUCUCAGUGGUGUUUUCUGUCUGGCCAGCUUUGGAGUACCGAGGCAGUGAAACCUGGGUGCUGUCACAGCACCUUCCCACCUUCGAGAAAACCUGGGGCUUAUGACCAUGAGUACAUGUUUACUCGGCAACAGCAAGAGGAUCUGGGCUCCAGGGCAAAGUGCUCAGCUUUGUUGCAGCUAUCAGACGGGCUGAGACGCAGGUGUGGGGAUCCGCUGAGGGCUCCGAUGUGCGGAGCUGAGGGGGGCUGGAGGCCAGGGCUGAUGCUGCAGCUCUGUGUUUCUCGCGUGCCCUGGUGGUGCCCAGACCCGCCUUUGUGUAGAGGCUGGAUCCAUCACCUCAUGGCAUCGUGCCAUGUUGCAGUGGGGAAACUGAGGCUCAGGAAGGCCUUGACCUACAUGAGGUUGGGAGCACUUGCCUGGGUUGGAGAAAGCCUCUGCCUGUUCUCUGCUGCUUGAAUCUGCCUUGAUGGCAGGGAGGGCCUCCCGUUCCACAGAUAGAACUUGACGAGUUGGGACGAAGGAAAUGCUGAGCCUCACUGGUCUCUUGCUGGCUCCACGCCCCAGCUCCCCUGGCCUCUGCACCCGGCUUGAGUGACAGAUGCUCCAGGAGGGGCAGGUCCUUCUGGAGCCAGCCUGGCUCCCUGAGCCCGGGACUCUUCAGACCCCUCCGUGUAGAUCUCCAUGCAAAGCAGCUGGCUCCUCGCCUGUGCAGAGUCACCAGAUGCAGACCUGGAAGGGACUCUGGUCACCACGACCGAGCCCUGGGAGCCCCAAGGAGCCUGAAAGGAGAUGCAGCCAGUG